GUGCCAGCAGCCGCGGUAAUACGAAGGGACCUAGCGUAGUUCGGAAUUACUGGGCUUAAAGAGCUCGUAGGUGGUUAAGAAAGUUGGUGGUGAAAGCCCAAGGCUUAACCUUGGAACUGCCACCAAAACUUUUUGACUAGAGUAUGAUAGAGGUAAGUGGAAUUUCUAGUGUAGAGGUGAAAUUCGUAGAUAUUAGAAAGAACACCAAUUGCGAAGGCAACUUUCUGGAUCAUUACUGACACUGAGGAGCGAAAGCAUGGGUAGCGAAGAGGAUUAGAUACCCUCGUAGUCCAUGCCGUAAACGAUGUGUGCUAGACGUUGGGAAUUUAGUUCUCAGUGUCGCAGCGAAAGCGUUAAGCACACCGCCUGGGGAGUACGACCGCAAGGUUAAAACUCAAAUGAAUUGACGGGGACCCGCACAAGCAGUGGAGCAUGUGGUUUAAUUCGAAGAUACGCGCAGAACCUUACCAACACUUGACAUGUUCGUCGCGAACCUAAGAGAUUAGGUUCUUCAUUUAGUUGGACGAAACACAGGUGCUGCAUGGCUGUCGUCAGCUCGUGUCGUGAGAUGUUGGGUUAAGUCCCGCAACGAGCGCAACCCUUACUUUUAGUUGCCACCAUUUAGUUGAGCACUCUAAAAGAACUGCCAGUGAUAAGCUGGAGGAAGGCGGGGAUGACGUCAAGUCCUCAUGGCCCUUACGUGUUGGGCUACACACGUGCUACAAUGGCACUUACAAUGAGAUGCAAAGAGGCAACUCCUAGCNAAUCUCAAAAAGGUGUCUCAGUUCGGAUUGUACUCUGCNACUCGAGUACAUGAAGCUGGAAUUGCUAGUAAUCGCGGAUCAGCGCGCCGCGGUGAAUACGUUCCCGGGUCUUGCACACACCGCCCGUC
rnacentral:rRNA from 1 species